GUGCUGGGCGGUUGACAGAUCCCAUAACAGGGUCCUUGCUACCUAUCUGCAGGGCACCCGGCCCCUGCUGCUGGUCUCAUUUUCUUAGGGAAACCAUUCAAAACCCUGAUGGCAACAGUUUCUGAUGCCUUGGGGCUCACAAGAGACAUCUAUUCUUGACAACACUGAGUCUGGAGUCAUGAGAUCCUGGAGUUGAGUCCCAAGCUAACAACCUCACUGCCAGUGUGAUUUUGGGCUAAAAAUAGCCCAGAAAUAACCCAAGGAAGUCACUUUCAUUGGGCAGCUGAGAGAAAGCGAGCAGCAGCUCCAACUGUCAAGAGAGUAACGCGAUUGUGUAUUUCGCACCUCUUCGUUUCUGUACUUGCCCAGCCAAUACACUGGGUCCCCUGGGUAGCCGACAAAUUUGCCCUUAAAGAAAGCAAUGUAGAAACACGAGGAGUAGUAGUUGACGAACUGGAAUAAGAACAUCUUCAUGGUCAGGCUGUUCUCGUAGUCAGUCUGCGUCCUUGGGAGUUCUGCAGUUCAAACAACAAGACAGAUGCUGAGACCCUGAACAGCUCUGAGACCCUAAUCAAAGGCUUGGAUCUCUGAGAUGACACCCUGGAAGGAAUACAGUUCAUUCACACUGUUCCCGUUUAAUCUGCUUUCCACUUCUUAAUAUAGCCACUGUGUUAAUUCUGAGUUUACACAUUGUUAUGAGUUCUCAUCCCAUCUAAACACAAUAUCCUCCAUGGCAAGCAACACACACACACACACACACACACACACACACACACACACACACACACACACACUUUUUAACUGCUCCUUAAACUUGAAAAAUGCUUUUACAGUCAAAUGGCCAAGAACGGUUUUGUUCUAAAACCCCAGAGUUAUUUUUGUUCUUCUGGUGCUAGGGAUCAAAUCCAUGCUGUCACUGAGCAACAUGCCCAGCCCCUCAGAAAAUUAGCUGUGAACUGCCAAGUAAAGGCACCUCUUUUGUCCCCUGGAAUUGUAAAGAUCUCUUGGAAACAGUGGGACAGAGCAACUGUGUGGAGGCAUCUGGGAAGCACAAACGGUUGUCCUCCUAACUACGAAUCUCAGCCAGUGUGACUGUCAUUCUGAGAAUACCCGGAUGCGUGCUGAGUGUGGGAAACCAUGAAGCAGCUGCUUGGGAUGCAAGCCAGCCGGAAGCAACACACAUUGCAUCAGGCAGAGCUGCUGAGAACCGUAUUCACAUGGACAGUAUGGGGGAUGACGGACACCCAUGCGGCAGCUUGUCCUCUCUUUGAGGACUGCACUUUUCACUGGAGCUGUGACCCUGUUCCACUUGUUUGCAACAGAGACUAUUUACUUUCAGCACGAGGAUACAUGAUCUAAUGUAAUGUAGAAACUAUUUACUUCUAGCAUGAGAAUACAUGAUCUAAUGUAAUGGAACAUAUUCUUCUGCCCAAUGUGUUUACAGAGCCUGGAUAUUCCUACCAUUGUCUUUGCCAUGUCCCUUCUUCUAAUACAAAGAUGCACAUAA